rnacentral:rRNA from 1 species
GACAGAGGGUGCAAACGUUGUUCGGAAUUACUGGGCGUAAAGAGCGCGCAGGCGGUCGAUCAAGUCGAGUGUGAAAGCCCCCGGCUCAACUGGGGAGGGUCAUUCGAUACUGAUCGACUCGAAGGCAGGAGAGGGUAGUGGAAUUCCCGGUGUAGUGGUGAAAUGCGUAGAUAUCGGGAGGAACACCAGUGGCGAAGGCGACUACCUGGCCUGUUCUUGACGCUGAGGCGCGAAAGCUAGGGGAGCAAACAGG